UAGGGAAUCUUCCACAAUGGACGAAAGUCUGAUGGAGCAACGCCGCGUGAGUGAAGAAGGUUUUCGGAUCGUAAAGCUCUGUUGUUGGUGAAGAAGGAUAGAGGCAGUAACUGGUCUUUAUUUGACGGUAAUCAACCAGAAAGUCACGGCUAACUACGUGCCAGCAGCCGCGGUAAUACGUAGGUGGCAAGCGUUGUCCGGAUUUAUUGGGCGUAAAGCGAGCGCAGGCGGAAUGAUAAGUCUGAUGUGAAAGCCCACGGCUCAACCGUGGAACUGCAUCGGAAACUGUCAUUCUUGAGUGCAGAAGAGGAGAGUGGAACUCCAUGUGUAGCGGUGGAAUGCGUAGAUAUAUGGAAGAACACCAGUGGCGAAGGCGGCUCUCUGGUCUGCAACUGACGCUGAGGCUCGAAAGCAUGGGUAGCGAACAGGAUUAGAUACCCUGGUAGUCCAUGCCGUAAACGAUGAGCGCUAGGUGUUGGGGACUUUCCGGUCCUCAGUGCCGCAGCAAACGCAUUAAGCGCUCCGCCUGGGGGGUACGACCGCAAGGUUGAAAC
rnacentral:rRNA from 1 species